UACGGUCAAAUCACGCUGAAAACACCGGUUCUCGUUCGAUCACAGAAGUUAAGCAUCGUAGAGCCAGGUCAGUACUUAGAUGGGGGACAGCUUGGGAU
rnacentral:rRNA from 1 species